UCGAGAAUCAUUCACAAUGGGGGAAACCCUGAUGGUGCGACGCCGCGUGAGGGAAGAAGGUCUUCGGAUUGUAAACCUCUGUCAUGUGGGAGCAAGCUCGUGAGAGUUGAUAGUACCACAAGAGAAAGCCCCGGCUAACUAUGUGCCAGCAGCCGCGGUAAUACAUAGGGGGCAAGCGUUAUCCGGAAUUAUUGGGCGUAAAGAGUGCGUAGGUGGCUCGUUAAGUCUGACGUGAAAUCCCACAGCUCAACUGUGGAGGGUCGUUGGAAACUGGCAAGCUUGAAUCCAGAAGAGGUAAGUGGAAUUCCAUGUGUAGCGGUAAAAUGCUUAGAUAUAUGGAGGAACACCAGUGGCGAAGGCGGCUUACUGGUCUGGAAUUGACACUGAGGCACGAAAGCGUGGGUAGCAAACA
rnacentral:rRNA from 1 species